rnacentral:rRNA from 1 species
AAACUAUCCAAAAGAUAUUGUUCAUUCAUGCAGAUACAUGCACCGCUGAAUUGAGAGUGUUCUUGACCACAAUUGAAGAUCAAUAAUACUACACCUACGAAAGGUGCUACGUAGUCCUACUUAACCUUCCAAUAAAUUCCUUUCUCCCCUCGAUUUUAACCGGUGUGGGCCCUAGCUGCUAAUCCUGACCUAAUUAACAAAUCCCACAUCAGCUUUUACGUAAGAUCUGAACGUAAGCUUACAUAUGUCUAACAUUGCUCAUUGAAGAUAAUUUAAGAAAGGAAAGCACUUCCUAUCAGAAGUCUGAUACAGAAGUUUUGUCAGACCGGCCCGGCGUCCCUGAUCCCCUACUAUUCCCACGGCCCAUAUCUUUACCUACUAAUAAAGAAAGCAGCGAUUGCUUCUGGUUGUACGUCGUCGGCGUUUUUGCAAAACAGCCCCUCUAUUUCUUUGAAAUAAACCCGCAGUCCCUGUUUAAGUGGCACUCUGGAAAAGGUUUUAUUUUUACCUAAACACCCCAACAUUUGUUAAAAAUUAUGCCCAUGGCCCUAUCUCUUAUUGGACUGGCUCACCACCGCGCAUCUCGCCGCUUAUCAUGUCGUUCUGCACCGCGGGGCACGCGCCGCCGGCGCCGCGGCGGGCGUCCGCGCCGAGGCGGGGCACCGGCUGGAGCACGGCGUGCACUCGACGGACACCGGAGCGAAGCGUGUUUGAGGCGCGAGAGGCAGGAGGCUGGAUCUUGGCGCGGCUCCUCUUCACACACAGCCCAGCCGCCGCCCUGCUGCCAUGAAUAGCCCAGCCGCGGAGAGGUGUGAGAUCAGGGGCGGGGAGGGAGAAGCGAGCUUACGGCUUCGUCCUCGGUCGUGGAUGCGUAGACGAACAGAAGGCAAGCGUUUGUCUCCUUCGGUCUCGAUGCGGACGAGCAGCUGCGGCUAGGCCCUCGGCGCAACGUGCAGGCGAGCGGGCGUGCAGUGGAUAGGUGUGAUGCGCGCCACGCGCGAACCAGUGCGGUCACACGGUGAGCAGAGUGUCCUGGCGAGCGGGAGGCUUGGGGGUCAACGCAUCCUGGCGAACGGUCGUUGUUGCGCUCGAGCGCUGCUCCCUCGCGCUGGAAGAAAGUUCGGCGGCAACUCUCCAGGGACUUGUGGCGGGGCGACACGGAUCAUACAGGGACGGCCUGGAUCUGGACAGGGUUGAGGAGGGCGCGGCUCCCAGGGUUGGACUGUUGGACUUGAGCUCGAUGCAACAUCCAUGGCAGCUCGCGGUCCUAUAGCACCGAGAAGAGAGAGGGAGUUAAGAGAGAGAGAGAGAAGAAAGAGGAAGGAGGAAGAAGAAGGAGAAGGGAGCAGAGGCAGGGGGCGGCCCGGCUUGCUGCUGGUGCUCGCCGGCGCACGCGGCUCGGGGAGGCUCGGGCGCUCGUGCAGCUCCAUGGGAGGAGCUCAUGGAUGGCCGGAUGGAUGGAUAAGAGGAAGGAUAGCAGCGCCGUUGGGAGGAAUGGAAACGUGGAUAACAUCCGCACAAUGGGAAGCUCUCGGUGGGGAUUCUUG